rnacentral:rRNA from 1 species
GACGAGCGCUGGCGGCGCGCCUAACACAUGCAAGUCGAACGAGCGAGAGAGAGCUUGCUUUCUCGAGCGAGUGGCGAACGGGUGAGUAACGCGUGAGGAACCUGCCUCAAAGAGGGGGACAACAGUUGGAAACGACUGCUAAUACCGCAUAAGCCCACAGGUCGGCAUCGACCAGAGGGAAAAGGAGCAAUCCGCUCUGAGAUGGCCUCGCGUCUGAUUAGCUAGUUGGCGGGGUAACGGCCCAUCAAGGCGACGAUCAGUAGCCGGACUGAGAGGUUGGCCGGCCACAUUGGGACUGAGACACGGCCCAG